rnacentral:rRNA from 1 species
UACGAAGGGGGCUAGCGUUGCUCGGAAUUACUGGGCGUAAAGGGUGCGUAGGCGGUUGUUUAAGUCUGUCGUGAAAUCCCCGGGCUCAACCUGGGAAUGGCGAUGGAUACUGGGCAGCUAGAGUGUGUCAGAGGAUGGUGGAAUUCCCGGUGUAGCGGUGAAAUGCGUAGAGAUCGGGAGGAACAUCAGUGGCGAAGGCGGGUCUCUGGGCCACUACUGACGCUGAGGAGCGAAAGCGUGGGGAGCAAACAGG